AUUGAACGCUGGCGGCAGGCCUAACACAUGCAAGUCGAACGAGUGGCGGACGGGUGAGUAAUGUCUGGGAAACUGCCUGAUGGAGGGGGAUAACUACUGGACACGGUAGCUAAUACCGCAUACCAUCGGAUGUGCCCAUAUGGGAUUAGCUCGUAGGUGGGGUAACGGCUCACCUCGGCGACGAUCCCUAGCUGGUCUUAGAGGAUGACCAGCCACACUGUAACUGAGACACGGUCCAGACUCCUACGGGAGGCAGCAGUGGGGAAUAUUGCACAAUGGGCGCAAGCCUGAUGCAGCCAUGCCGCGUGUAUGAAGAAGGCCUUCGGGUUGUAAAGUACUUUCAGCGGGGAGGCGUUAACCGCAGAAGAAGCACCGGCUAACUCCGUGCCAGCAGCCGCGGUAAUUC
rnacentral:rRNA from 1 species